UACGUAGGGGGCAAGCGUUGUCCGGAAUCAUUGGGCGUAAAGCGCGUGUAGGUGGCUUGAUAAGUCUGCUCUGAAAGCCCGGGGCUCAACCCCGGGAGGCGGGUGGAUACUGUCAAGCUCGAGUCCGGAAGAGGAGUGUGGAAUUCCUGGUGUAGCGGUGAAAUGCGCAGAUAUCAGGAGGAACACCUGUGGCGAAAGCGGCUCACUGGACCAUAACUGACGCUGAGACGCGAAAGCGUGGGGAGCGAACAGG
rnacentral:rRNA from 1 species